rnacentral:lncRNA from 1 species
UGAUAUUUUGAAUGAACCAAUAACAUCUCUGCCUUUUUACUUCUAAUUUUCACGAUGUUAGGAAUGCACUAACUUGCACCUUGUAUUCCCUUCUCUUGAUCUCGAGUUUUGUUUAAUUAGACAAUAUAUGGUUUGGUUGUAGUCUACCUGGCAUCAUCAUAAGAGGUUUUCUUCAGCUGCUUUUCUACAUUUUUUAAAUUUUGUUUAGGUCUAUGUCAAGUUUCUUGGUUGUUUUUAUUUCCUGUCUGUUUAUCUUAUGCUUUGCAUUGAUUCCCUUUAUUGUUGAUAGGUUGGAUUUCUCUAUCUGAGAUAUGUUGCUGAUCCAAAGUCUCUGGAGCUGGUUUGAACCAUAUAUAAAGGAUGCUGAGGUAUGAGAAUAUGGUUAUUAUCUUUAUAGCCCCAGUAGUCUAUCGUCCAAUGACAUUUAUUAGGGUUUUUGAUCUAUUGUCUCUUUCUUCCUACUGUGCUCUGAUAAUUAUAUUUGUUUUUUUCUUCAUUAUUUGACUUAAAAUAAAUCGACUGUUGACUUUUUUGCAUUUACAUGUACUUCCCCCAUGACUGAAAUUGGAUUUUAUCUACAAGGAUUUUGAUCAAGGUGCUGGAACUUUGAUGUCACACACCUUUAAUUCUUUGUAAUAUUCUAUUUUCUACUUGGCUAACCACUAUUUAUAGUUGCUUCAUAUGGAACUAUGCAAAUAGCAUGCCGUGUCAAUAUUUUUUGUGUGACAGAUGUAGUUUUAAACAAAUCUAUCAAGAUUUUGUUAUUUAUGUUAUAUUUUGUGCGUAAAUGGUCCUUUUUCUAAGUAUAAUAGUUUACUUGUUGGGUUUCAGUUUUCUUGAAUUAUCAUCUAUUCUUGUGAUACCAUCUGAAAGUGCUAUGCAAGUUAUUAUUCAUAUUAAAAUUAUGAUCCUUCAUUACAGGAAUUUUCUCCUGGAUCUAAUGGACGAAUGACUACAAUGGGUGUAUAUAUCCUUGAUUUGCUCCUUGGAAAGGUUCGUUGUUAUUAUAAUAUUUCUGUCUAAAGUUUACUUGGGACUUGAGAGCAUAGUUCCUAGUUUAACCUCGUGGACUCAUGCUUUGAUUAUGCUUGUAGACAAUUAAUUGCAUUUGCAUGAUAAGGGCAAAUAAACCCUGACCCCUUGAUAUAGAGAUUUUUCGAUGUAAUGUCAUACUAGGGCAAUGGGAAAAAAACAUUUGACUCAACUGCUGACUAGUUAAACUGAGAGUUAUGUGUUCAGAGCUCUGCAACCAGAACCCAGAUGCAUCAUUAGAUUGCCAAUGCAGACACGUUCGUCCUCAUCCCAUAAUUUGGAGUAACAGAAUGAGGUGCUUUCAGUAUCUUUGGACAUGAACAUUUUACUCCUACCAAUAAUUUCUGAUAAGUACUAGUUCAAAAGUAUCUUUCUUUUUUCUUUCACGGCUUUUUUAUUGCUUGUAUUCCCUUCUCUUGAUCUCGAGUUUUGUUUAAUUAGACAAUAUAUGGUUUGGUUGUAGUCUACCUGGCAUCAUCAUAAGAGGUUUUCUUCAGCUGCUUUUCUACAUUUUUUAAAUUUUGUUUAGGUCUAUGUCAAGUUUCUUGGUUGUUUUUAUUUCCUGUCUGUUUAUCUUAUGCUUUGCAUUGAUUCCCUUUAUUGUUGAUAGGUUGGAUUUCUCUAUCUGAGAUAUGUUGCUGAUCCAAAGUCUCUGGAGCUGGUUUGAACCAUAUAUAAAGGAUGCUGAGGUAUGAGAAUAUGGUUAUUAUCUUUAUAGCCCCAGUAGUCUAUCGUCCAAUGACAUUUAUUAGGGUUUUUGAUCUAUUGUCUCUUUCUUCCUACUGUGCUCUGAUAAUUAUAUUUGUUUUUUUCUUCAUUAUUUGACUUAAAAUAAAUCGACUGUUGACUUUUUUGCAUUUACAUGUACUUCCCCC